CCCAAUGUGGUAUAAUGGUUUGAGCUCUGGACUACAAUUCUAGAGACCAGGGUUCAAAUCCCUACUCAGCCA